GGGAGUUCCUUACUGAGACCUAGACAACCAGGUGAGGGGAGUUCCUUACUGAGACCUGGACAACCAGGUGAGGGGAGUUCCUUACUGAGACCUGGACAACCAGGUGAGGGGAGUUCCUUACUGAGACCUAGACAACCAGGUGAGGGGAGUUCCUUACUGAGACCUGGACAACCAGGUGAGGGAGUUCCUUACUGAGACCUAGACAACCAGGUGAGGGAGUUCCUUACUGAGACCUAGACAACCAGGUGAGGGAGUUCCUUACUGAGACCUAGACAACCAGGUGAGACCUAGACAACCAGGUGAGGGGAGUUCCUUACUGAGACCUAGACAACCAGGUGAGACCUAGACAACCAGGUGAGGGGAGUUCCUUACUGAAACCUAGACAACCAGGUGAGGGAGUUCCUUACUGAGACCUUGACAACCAGGUGAGGGGAGUUCCUUACUGAGACCUGGACAACCAGGUGAGGGGAGUUCCUUACUGAGACCUAGACAACCAGGUGAGGGGAGAUCCUUACUGAGACCUAGACAACCAGGUGAGGGGAGUUCCUUACUGAGACAACCAGGUGAGGGGAGUUCCUUACUGAGACCUGGACAACCAGGUGAGGGAGUUCCUUACUGAGACCUAGACAACCAGGUGAGGG
ensembl:lncRNA